rnacentral:lncRNA from 1 species
UAAAAAUGUCUUGAAUAGAACUCCAGUUGCUCAGAAAAUAGUAGUGAGUAUUGACAAAUGGGAUUGUAUCAAAUUAAAAAGCUCUUGCACAACAAAGAAAACAACUAACAGAGUAAAGACAUGGCUUACAUAAUGGGAGAAAAAUCAUUGCCAGCUACUCUUUUGACAAAGAAUUGGUUUCCAGACUAUAUAAAAAAAUCUGAAAAACUAAAUGCUAAUAACUAAAUAACUUAUUUGGUAAAUGAGCAAGUGAACUGAACAGAAACUACUCAAAAGUACAGAUGGCUAACAAAUAUAUAUAAAAAAGGUUCAACAUCUUUAUCUGUCAAGGAAAUGAAAAUUAAAUCUAUGCUGAGAUUUCAUCUCAUUCUAAGCAUAAUGAUAAUCAUCAUGAAUACAAACAAUAAUAAAUGUUGGUGAAGAAGUAGGGAAAGAGGAAUUCUGAUCCAUUAUUUGUGAGGCUGUAUAUUAAUAUAACCACAAUGGAAAUCUGUAUGGAGGCUCCUCAAAAAAAUAAAAACAGAACAACACUAUGAUUUAGUUAUACCACUCCUUGAUAUUUAUCCAAAGGAAUUAAUGUCAGCGACUUUAAAGAUAUAUGCAUACCCAUGUUUAUCACAGCACAAUUCAUAAUAGCCAAGUUAUGUCCUCAGCCUAAGUAUCUGUCAAUAGAUGAAUAGAUAAAGAAAAUGUGGUAUGUAUAUACAGUGGAAUUUUAUUCAGCCAUAGAGAAGAAUGAAAUUAUAUAAUUUGCAGAAAGAUAGAUGGAAUUGUAGACCAUCAUGUUAAGCAAAGUGGGUUAGAUUCAGAAAGUGAAAUACAUAUGUUUUCUUUCACAUGUAGGAGCGAGAAUGGAAAGAAAGGAAUAACAUGAAAAUGGAAGGGACACCGAUACAGUAGAAGAAAGGGAACAGGAAAGGGAGGAGGCCAGGGUAAAAUUGAUAGUAUUGUGUUAUAUGACUGCAUCAGUAUGCCACAAUGAAACCCAUCAUUCUGUAUAAAUAAAAUAAACUAACAAAAAUGAUUUGAACGUUUAAAAAAGAAUAUGAGAAAGCUUCUGACUUUCAAAUGACUGGAUAUGAAGUAACCAUAGGAUUCUACAAAUCUUCCAACUGGAAUUAUGCAUGCUUGUGUCUUAUAGAAUAAGAUGAACAGCUCCAAAUAGUAUAGUUAAGAGGGUGUUAAGUUUUUCAUACUUUGUAGCAUCUUUAAAAAAUUCAACUUAAACUUUCAUCUGAAUUAAUCACCAAAGUGAAUAUUUCCAUAACUUGUCUAUUUCUACAUUAUCUCAUUAUCCC